GACGAACGCUGGCGGCGUGCUUAACACAUGCAAGUCGAACGGACCCUUUGGGGUUAGUGGCGAACGGGUGAGUAACACGUGGGUGAUCUGCCCUGCACUUUGGGAUAAGCCUGGGAAACUGGGUCUAAUACCGGAUAGGACUACGCACUGCAUGGUGUGUGGUGGAAAGCUUUUGCGGUGUGGGAUGGGCCCGCGGCCUAUCAGCUUGUUGGUGGGGUGAUGGCCUACCAAGGCGACGACGGGUAGCCGGCCUGAGAGGGUGACCGGCCACACUGGGACUGAGAUACGGCCCAGACUCCUACGGGAGGCAGCAGUGGGGAAUAUUGCACAAUGGGCGCAAGCCUGAUGCAGCGACGCCGCGUGAGGGAUGACGGCCUUCGGGUUGUAAACCUCUUUCGCCAGGGACGAAGCGCAAGUGACGGUACCUGGAGAAGAAGGACCGGCCAACUACGUGCCAGCAGCCGCGGUAAUACGUAGGGUCCGAGCGUUGUCCGGAAUUACUGGGCGUAAAGAGCUCGUAGGUGGUUUGUCGCGUUGUUCGUGAAAACUCACAGCUUAACUGUGGGCGUGCGGGCGAUACGGGCAGACUGGAGUACUGCAGGGGAGACUGGAAUUCCUGGUGUAGCGGUGGAAUGCGCAGAUAUCAGGAGGAACACCGGUGGCGAAGGCGGGUCUCUGGGCAGUAACUGACGCUGAGGAGCGAAAGCGUGGGGAGCGAACAGGAUUAGAUACCCUGGUAGUCCACGCCGUAAACGGUGGGUACUAGGUGUGGGUUUCCUUCCUUGGGAUCCGUGCCGUAGCUAACGCAUUAAGUACCCCGCCUGGGGAGUACGGCCGCAAGGCUAAAACUCAAAGGAAUUGACGGGGGCCCGCACAAGCGGCGGAGCAUGUGGAUUAAUUCGAUGCAACGCGAAGAACCUUACCUGGGUUUGACAUGCACAGGACGCCGGCAGAGAUGUCGGUUCCCUUGUGGCCUGUGUGCAGGUGGUGCAUGGCUGUCGUCGGCUCGUGUCGUGAGAUGUUGGGUUAAGUCCCGCAACGAGCGCAACCCUUGUCUCAUGUUGCCAGCACGUUAUGGUGGGGACUCGUGAGAGACUGCCGGGGUCAACUCGGAGGAAGGUGGGGAUGACGUCAAGUCAUCAUGCCCCUUAUGUCCAGGGCUUCACACAUGCUACAAUGGCCGGUACAAAGGGCUGCGAUGCCGUGAGGUGGAGCGAAUCCUUUCAAAGCCGGUCUCAGUUCGGAUCGGGGUCUGCAACUCGACCCCGUGAAGUCGGAGUCGCUAGUAAUCGCAGAUCAGCAACGCUGCGGUGAAUACGUUCCCGGGCCU
rnacentral:rRNA from 1 species